rnacentral:rRNA from 1 species
CACGUAUUUAGCCGGGGCUUCUUGGUCAGGUAUCGUCAUUCUCUUCCCUGCUGACAGAGCUUUACAUACCGGAGUACUCCAUCGCUCACGCGGCGUCGCUGCAUCAGGGUUGCCCCCAUUGUGCAAUAUCCCCCACUGCUGCCUCCCGUAGGAGUCUGGGCCGUGUCUCAGUCCCAAUGUGGCCGUCCACCCUCUCAGGCCGGCUACUGAUCGUCGCCUUGGUCGGGCCGUUACCCCGCCAACCAGCUAAUCAGACGCGGACCCAUCCCGCACCGCACAAGGCUUUCCGCACCGCCCAUGUGGGGCUGUGCGCAUAUGCGGUAUUAGCAGCCGUUCCGGCUGUUGUCCCCAGUGCGGGUAGGUUGUCCACGUCGUUACUCACCCGUCCGCCACUCGAGUCACGAGA